rnacentral:rRNA from 1 species
CUCCUGGAAACGGGUGGUAAUGCCGGAUGCUCCGACAUGACGCAUGUCGUGUUGGGAAAGAUUCAUCGGUAUGGGAUGGGGUCGCGUCCUAUCAGCUUGAUGGCGGGGUAACGGCCCACCAUGGCUUCGACGGGUAGCCGGCCUGAGAGGGCGACCGGCCACAUUGGGACUGAGAUACGGCCCAGACUCCUACGGGAGGCAGCAGUGGGGAAUAUUGCACAAUGGGCGCAAGCCUGAUGCAGCGACGCCGCGUGCGGGAUAGAGGCCUUCGGGUUGUAAACCGCUUUUAUCGGGGAGCAAGCGAGAGUGAGUGUACCCGUUGAAUAAGCACCGGCUAACUACGUGCCAGCAGCCGCGGUAAUACGUAGGGUGCAAGCGUUAUCCGGAUUUAUUGGGCGUAAAGGGCUCGUAGGCGGUUCGUCGCGUCUGGUGUGAAAGUCCAUCGCUUAACGGUGGAUCUGCGCCGGGUACGGGCGGGCUGGAGUGCGGCAGGGGAGACUGGAAUUCCCGGUGUAACGGUGGAAUGUGUAGAUAUCGGGAAGAACACC